AUGCACAGUGCAGGCGUACAAUCAUGAGCAGCUUACGACACUCAGUGAACACUGGGUGCCUCUGCAUGCUCUAGCAACAUACUGCUCAGCUGAAGGGAAGGGAUUCUUGCUGUCUCUCUCUGCUCUAAGCAUCACCUAACAAGCAAAGCGAACAAAGAAUGGGAAAUAAAGCGACCCUUAGCCGGUCAGUGAAUGAAUGGUAACCUCUCUCUGGAGUAAAGGUUGUGCCGGUCAAUGGUCGUUGCAAAUGAUGGACAUUAAACUGAUUGACAAAUCCUGUGGAGUCGUUAGUAAAGAGUCUGGAGUUUUUUUCACGCCACAGUGUUAACUGCAGAGGAAAGGACAGAGGGAGAAGGAGAAGAUCAAGCUCAUGUACAUAGUUCUGAAACUUGCAGGUCCUAGGAGGCAGCUCAAAAGCUAGCUGGACAAGCCUUUCGCUCGUUGAGCAGAAGCGAAGUGAGACAUUGUGAGCUUGCCAGCCUUGCACAACAUUGAAAGGGACUGAAUUUGUAGCACAGAGGGGUCUUUUUUAGCUCUGCAUAUAAUUAGUCCAAACACAAAGGAAGCAACUGAAUGGAGGUUGUCACUCUCUGGAAAAGGACACAGUAACUACUGCCAGAAAGAUGUCUUUCAACACGGGUGCUAUGGGAACAUGACCAAGUACCUUCAAUUUCUGAGCUAACAAAGACUAAAUCCAAGAUAUGAAUGGCAAUAGAGCCUCACAGGCAGGGUGAAUCAAAAACAAGAAGGGGAGGAGGAAGAGGAGAACCCUGAAAAUCCCAAACUAAGCUGCAAGAACAGUCCACAGCUAUUGAAUUCCUGAGGUUUUGAGUCUUUUUACAACUGUCAGCCCUUUGAAACACGUCUGCUAUCAACCCUCUUUACAGGAUGAGAGGUAAAGUGAGCUCCCAGGAGUAAACCUGGAUCUCUCUCUGUGGUCCAGUGCCUCUCUGACAGCCUGGCUUGCUUAGAGAGCCUGGGAAAUACUAAAGAAUGUUAAUAAUAAUGAGAUAAAUCGUCUAGGGAUUUUUUUUUCCACCUUUUUUUUUUCUUUUUUUUAAACUUGGCUCUCUAAUAAAGCUUAUCUUGACAGAAAAUUUACUUCUCUGAUCCACAUUAUUUCCCAAUGCAA